rnacentral:rRNA from 1 species
GAUGAACGCUGGCGGUGUGCCUAAUACAUGCAAGUCGUGCGGAAAGGCCCUUCGGGGUACAAGAGCGGCGAACGGGUGAGUAACGCGUGGGAAAUCUGCCGAGUAGCGGGGGACAACGUUUGGAAACGAACGCUCAUACCGCAUAACACUGAGAAUCGCAUGAUCCUUAUUUGAAAGAAGCAAUUGCUUCACUACUCGAUGAUCCCGCGUUGUAUUAGCUAGUUGGUAGUGUAAUGGACUACCAAGGCGAUGAUACAUAGCCGACCUGAGAGGGUGAUCGGCCACACUGGGACUGAGACACGGCCCAGACUCCUACGGGAGGCAGCAGUAGGGAAUCUUCGGCAAUGGGGGCAACCCUGACCGAGCAACGCCGCGUGAGUGGAGAAGGUUUUCGGGUCGUAAAACUCUGUUGUUAGAGAAGAACGUUAAGUAGAGUGGAAAAUUACUUAAGUGACGGUAUCUAACCAGAAAGGGACGGCUAACUACGUGCCAGCCGCCGCCGUAA